GACCUGUGGGUAGGGGGGAAGUGCCAAUCUAGCUCGGAAAUAGCUCGUACUCUCCGAAAUGCAUUUAGGUGCAGCGUAUUUAUGGUUUAUAAGAGGUAGAGCUACUGAUUGGAUGCGGGGGCUUCACCGCCUACCAAUUCCGGACAAACUCCGAAUGCUUAUAAAUUAAAUAAAUGCAGUGAGGGCAUGGGUGCUAAGGUCCAUGUCCGAGAGGGAAAGAACCCAGACCAUCAGCUAAGGUCCCCAAAUAUAUACUAAGUUGAAAUAACGAGGUUUGAUUGCUUAGACAGCUAGGAUGUUGGCUUGGAAGCAGCCAUUCAUUUAAAGAGUGCGUAACAGCUCACUAGUCGAGCGAUCAAGCAUGGACAAUAAUCGGGCAUAAGUAUAUUACCGAAGCUAUGGACAGUACAUUAGAUGUACUAGUGGUAGGAGAGCAUUCUGUUUGCGCCGAAGCUUGUCUGCGAGGAUAAGUGGAGCGGAUAGAAAAGCAAAUGUAGGGAUAAGUAACGAUAAUGCGGGUGAGAAACCCGCACACCGAAAGACCAAGGAUUCCGUGGCCAUGCUAAUCAGCCACGGGUUAGUCGGGACCUAACGCGAACCCGAACGGGGUAGUGGAUGGACAACGGGUUAAUAUUCCCGUACCUGCUCUCAUUGAAAGUGACGGAUCUCAGGAGUUGCUGCGUACUGACGGAAUAGUACGUUGAAGCGCAAGCGAUAGUACACAGAAGCUACGGUGGAUGUGAUAAUGUAGCGAAUGAGGUUCCAAGAAAAGCGAGAGAAGCAGCCCGUACCGUAAACCGACACAGGUGGUUGGGAAGAGAAUUCUAAGGUGCUCGAGUGAUUCAUAGCUAAGGAACUAGGCAAAAUGGUCUCGUAACUUCGGGAGAAGAGACGCCAGCAGUAAUGCUGGCCGCAGUGAAUAGGCCCAGGCGACUGUUUCACAAAAAAACAGGACUAUGCAAAAUCGAAAGAUGCAGUAUAUGGUCUGACACCUGCCCGGUGCUGGAAGGUUAAGUGGAGCUGUUAUACGUAAGUAGAAGCAGUGAAAUGAAGCCCCAGUAAACGGCGGCCGUAACUAUAACGGUCCUAAGGUAGCGAAAUUCCUUGUCGGGUAAGUUCCGACCUGCACGAAUGGUGCAACGAUCUGGGCACUGUCUCAGCUAUGAGCUCGGUGAAAUUGUAGUAUCGGUGA
rnacentral:rRNA from 1 species